rnacentral:rRNA from 1 species
UACGUAGGGGGCUAGCGUUGUCCGGAUUUAUUGGGCGUAAAGAGCGUGUAGGCGGCCGAGUAAGUCCGGUGUGAAACUCGAGGCUUAACCUCGAGAUGUCAUCGGAAACUAUUCGGCUAGAGUACGAAAGAGGGUCGCGGAAUUCCCCGGUGUAGAGGUGAAAUUCGUAGAUAUCGGGAGGAACACCCGGUGGCGAAGGCGGCGACCUGGUCGAGACUGACGCUGAUGCGCGAAAGCGUGGGAGCAA